CGCGAAUUGCUCAUUACAACAGCCGUGUUUCUUGGAUCUCUUCUCUACUUGGAUAACUGUGGUAAUUCUAGAGCUAAUACAUGCAAUCAAGCCUUGAUCAUUAAAGUGACGGGCGCAUUUAUUAGAACAAGACCAUCUGGCUUUCGAGCCAUGCAUUGGUGACUCUGAAUAACUGAGCCGAUCGCACGGGCUCGUCCCGGCGACGUAUCUUUCAAGUGUCUGCCUUAUCAGGUUUCGUUGGCGGUUUAUGUGACCGCCAAGCCUGUAACGGGUAACGGAGGAUCAGGGUCUGACUCCGGAGAGGGAGCCUGAGAAACGGCUACCACUUCUAAGGAAGGCAGCAGGCGCGCAAAUUACCCAUUCUUGGCUCAAGGAGGUAGUGACGAAAAAUACCAAGGUCAGGCUCAUCGAGCUUGACCAUUGGAAUGAGAACAAUCUAAAUCCUUUAACGAGGAUCUAGUGGAGGGCAAGUCUGGUGCCAGCAGCCGCGGUAAUUCCAGCUCCGCAAGUGUAUUCCUAUACUGUUGCGUUUAAAUAGCUCGUAGUUGCAUCUGCGUGUUUAGCGCGCGGUGCUACUUUAUGGUAGCUACUGUGACGCGACACUGUACGUUGACUACAUACUUCGUAAGUACGUAGACAACAAGUUUACUUUGAACAAAUCAGAGUGCUCAAAACGGGCGUUUCGCUCGAAUGUUCUUGCAUGGAAUAAUAGAAUAGGACCGCGCGUUCUAUUUUGUUGGUUUUCGGGACGCGGGUAAUGAUUAAGAGGGACAGACGGGGGCAUUUGUACUGCGACGUGAGAGGUGAAAUUCUUGGAUCGUCGCAAGACAGACUACUGCGAAAGCAUUUGCCAAGAAUGUUUUCAUUAAUCAAGAACGAAAGUAACGGGUUCGAAGGCGAUCAGAUACCGCCC
rnacentral:rRNA from 1 species